UACGAAAGGUGCAAGCGUUACUCGGAAUCACUGGGCGUAAAGCGCGCGUAGGCGGUCUUGUAUGUCGAUUGUGAAAGCCCCGGGCUCAACCUGGGAAUAGCAGCCGAAACUGCAAGACUUGAAUGUUGGAGAGGGUGGGGGAAUACCUAGUGGAGAAGUGAAAUUCGUAGAGAUUAGGUGGAACACCAGAGGCGAAGGCGCCUGCCUGGCCAAACAUUGACGCUGAGGCGCGAAAGCGUGGGGAGCGAACAGG
rnacentral:rRNA from 1 species